UGCCUCCUGGUGCUCACCACAGUCUGUGUUCUUACACUGACUGUACAGAAAAAGGAGAAGUAAAGCUACCCCACAUAUACCUCAACCCAGGUCCUGUGCCUGGUCUGUACUAUGAAUGGGAAGACAUGG
rnacentral:snoRNA from 1 species